UACGUAGGGAGCAAGCGUUGUCCGGAAUCAUUGGGCGUAAAGCGCGUGUAGGCGGCUUUGCAAGUCGGGUGUGAAAGCCCUCGGCUCAACCGAGGAAGUGCGCCCGAAACUGCAGAGCUCGAGUGCCAGAGAGGGUGGCGGAAUUCCCCAAGUAGAGGUGAAAUUCGUAGAUAUGGGGAGGAACACCAGUGGCGAAGGCGGCCACCUGGAUGGUGACUGACGCUGAGACGCGAAAGCGCGGGGAGCGAACGGG
rnacentral:rRNA from 1 species